UUUCCGUAGGUGAACCUGCGGAAGGAUCAUUAAAGUUAUAGUCCCCCGGCCCCUCCGGGCUGGGGUCUUCUAUACCACCCUUUGUUUAUUACACCUUUGUUGCUUUGGCAGGCCUGCCCUCGGGCUGCUGGCUCCGGCCGGCUCGUGCCUGCCAGAGGACCUAAACUCUGUUUGUAUAUGAAGUCUGAGUACUAUAUAAUAGUUAAAACUUUCAACAACGGAUCUCUUGGCUCUG
rnacentral:misc_RNA from 1 species